GUUCUGGAUUAUAACACAGAAAUUGUCUCUCAAGACCAGGUGGAUUCCAUAAUGAAUUUGGUAUCCACGUUGAUUCAAGAUCAGCCAGAUCAACCUGUAGAAGACCCUGAUCCAGAAGAUUUUGCUGAUGAGCAGAGCGUUGUGGGCCCUUCAUUCAUCUGCUGCGCUCUGAGGACCCUGACCAGCAGUACUUGCACACCCAGGUAAAACUAUG
rnacentral:lncRNA from 1 species